UCCCGUAACACUAAGUGCAGCUCCCCUGAGGUGGGGUCCACCACCAGCCUCUUCCUCCUGUCACAAACUCCAUUACCUCGGCAAACCGGUUCGGACACUAAGACACUUGCUAAAGUCAUUGUAUUAGUGUCCAACCUAUAGAGCUUCCCUUUCCUGUCUAUUGCAAAGUACAUCUUCUUAAACUGAUGAACUAGCACCGUGCCACCGUCGGACGGUGGGACUCGGUGAGCCCAUUUGGUUUAGCGCGGGUACUCGUUGAAAGAUGGUGACUCGGAAGGGGCAAAUGUCGGACGGUGGUACUUGGUGAGCCCUUUCGGGUGAGCGCGGGUAUUGGUUGAAAGACGUAGCCUUGUCGGAGUCAACCUGAAGAUCUCAGAAAGGGUGAUUGUCGAAAAACGUGGAUUAUACAUCACGAAAGACCGAAAACCCAACCAAAUUUCUAGGUCAUGGUUUUGGUCUGGAUGGCGCAAACCACUGGCGAGACUCCCCCCUCUCCUCCCCUUUACGACCUUAAAAGCCCCCUUUCGACCACCCUCCCUCUUCCCCUCCCUUUUCCGACCACCCCCUAGCACCCCAUCGAAAAUUAACCCCAAGACCCUUACCGGAAUUGAUCCCAAAACCCUACCCGUGGUGAGAAAAAAAGGGAAAAGUGUGGGCAACCUCCACUCCAACCUCUCUACACUCAAACUCCAGUCCAAAAAAAUAAUAAAAAAUAGAAAGAAAAACCUCUACACUCAAACUAGAGCAGCAGCAGAGCUUUUAAUGCUAAUUCACACCUAAACUUUUCAAAUCAAUCAAUCAAGUAGUAAUUUUGUUCAGCCUUUUCGAUUAAUAUAUGGAGCUACCGUGUCUGGAAACAGCUAUUAAUUUUAUGGGAUGCAAAGCAGAAACCGGUAGCACUACAACUCUUGAAGUCAGCUACUAUUUUAUUGAGAAGGGAAACAGAGACCGAGUGCUCUCCGGAGGUUGAACAACCACGCUCUAGUAAAUUCAGUACUACAGGUAUGCAACCUGAGCGUCCUACUGCAGAAGAACUAGAAGCAAUGGCAUUGGUUCCAUCCCCACAGGUCAGACUAUUGACUCGUCAAACAAAGGAAGAGAAGGAUCUAUUGAAAAAGAUUGUUAUAGAUGUUGCUUACCCUCUGGUUAAAGAGGGUAAGAAAACUUGGCAAAGCAGAAAUUUAUGAUUUAACGUUCUCAAACAAUACAACAAUGAAGUAAAGCACCACAGACUACCAGGUAGUGGACCUAUGAAUGAAAUUCGUAACCUUUCAAUAUUGCUUGAUGUAUUAAGGAGCAUUUCGUGGUGCGAUUGCUCUUCAAAUUCGAAGAACAUAUGUGAGUGCAUUGAACCCCAUUGUCCACCUCCCUCGGAUGCAACACAGGCUUCUGUAAGUAGUGGGUCGCGAAAGAGAAGCCAUGAAUCAAUCGAUUCUGAGGACAUCAGUAAGAAAGUUGCUCGUGCAGUACAUGAUUUGAAAAGAAGUGGAGUUCUUACCCGCGACCUCGCGGGGAAUGUGUCAACACUCUAUAGUAUGAUGAUAAAAAAGAACUUGCAUGUGAAUGUCAACGUUUUUCUCCUUGCGGCAGAAAAUGCAGAUGAUGCUCUUUCUAUACAACAACAAAUUGAUGAUGAUUUUGGAAAAUUCGGCUUCUAAUGAUGUGAAAUUGGGCUGCUGAUUAGGGGGGAUCGAAGAUGCUGCUACCUGCUGGUUGGAAGGUGUUCUUAGGACUUGUGUGUUGGAAUUGUUGGUUUGUAUCGGCUGUGCAUGUAUUUGUAUUAUAAGUUUGUUGGAUUAUGUUAUCCUAAAGUCUUGGAAACUUUUUAUUGUAACGGGGAAUCCCAAGCAGAACAAUUGUUAUCAUUGUGGAGUUUUUAUGCUUGGAGUUAUU